GGGUGUUUAGCUCAGCUGGUUAGAGCGUCACAUUGACAUUGUGAAGGUCACUGGUUCGAGUCCAGUAAUACCCA
rnacentral:tRNA from 1 species